ACUCCUACGGGAGGCAGCAGUGGGGAAUCUUAGACAAUGGGCGCAAGCCUGAUCUAGCCAUGCCGCGUGAGUGAUGAAGGCCUUAGGGUCGUAAAGCUCUUUCGCCAGAGAUGAUAAUGACAGUAUCUGGUAAAGAAACCCCGGCUAACUCCGUGCCAGCAGCCGCGGUAAUACGGAGGGGGUUAGCGUUGUUCGGAAUUACUGGGGCGUAAAGCGCGCGUAGGCGGAUCAGAAAGUUGGGGGUGAAAUCCCGGGGCUCAACCUCGGAACUGCCUUCAAAACUCCUAGUCUAGAGUUCGAGAGAGGUGAGUGGAACUCCGAGUGUAGAGGUGAAAUUCGUAGAUAUUCGGAAGAACACCAGUGGCGAAGGCGGCUCACUGGCUCGAUACUGACGCUGAGGUGCGAAAGUGUGGGGAGCAAACAGGAUUAGAUACCCUGGUAGCGACUGA
rnacentral:rRNA from 1 species